rfam:Taeniopygia guttata chromosome 4A, whole genome shotgun sequence.
CUCUAUCGUGCCCUCAUUGUACAUGCUGUGUGAAUUUGUCACAUACACAGCGCAUGCAAUGUGGACAUAAUGGAG